UACGUAGGGACCGAGCGUUGUCCGGAAUUAUUGGGCGUAAAGAGCUCGUAGGCGGCUUGUUGCGUCUGCUGUGAAAUCCCGGGGCUUAACCCCGGGCGUGCAGUGGAUACGGGCAGGCUGGAGGCAGGCAGGGGAGAAUGGAAUUCCCGGUGUAGCGGUGAAAUGCGCAGAUAUCAGGAGGAACACCGGUGGCGAAGGCGGGUCUCUGGGCCGAUACUGACGCUGAGGAGCGAAAGCGUGGGGAGCGAACAGG
rnacentral:rRNA from 1 species